CGUGUCGUGAGAUGUUGGGUUAAGUCCCGCAACGAGCGCAACCCUUGACCUUAGUUGCCAGCAUUCAGUUGGGCACUCUAAGGUAACUGCCGGUGACAAACCGGAGGAAGGUGGGGAUGACGUCAAAUCAUCAUGCCCCUUAUGACCUGGGCUACACACGUGCUACAAUGGACAGAACAAAGGGCAGCGAAACCGCGAGGUUAAGCCAAUCCCACAAAUCUGUUCUCAGUUCGGAUCGCAGUCUGCAACUCGACUGCGUGAAGCUGGAAUCGCUAGUAAUCGCGGAUCAGCAUGCCGCGGUGAAUACGUUCCCGGGCCUUGUACACACCGCCCGUCACACCACGAGAGUUUGUAACACCCGAAGUCGGUGAGGUAACCUUUUAGGAGCCAGCCGCCGAAGGUGGGACAGAUGAUUGGGGU
rnacentral:rRNA from 1 species